rnacentral:misc_RNA from 1 species
GAUGAAGAACGUAGCGAAAUGCGAUAAGUAAUGUGAAUUGCAGAAUUCCGUGAAUCAUCGAAUCUUUGAACGCACAUUGCGCCCCCUGGCAUUCCGGGGGGCAUGCCUGUCCGAGCGUCAUUUCUGCCCUCCAGCCCGGCUGGGUGUUGGGCGCUGUCCCCCCAGGGACACGCCCCAAAGGCAGUGGCGGCGCCGCGUCGGGUCCUCGAGCGUAUGGGGCUUUGUCACCCGCUCGGGACGGACUCGUCGGCGCUGGUCUUCCUCCAGGCGACCCUUCGGGGCUCGUCUUCCUUCGGUUGACCUCGGAUCAGGUAGGGUUACCCGCUGAACUUAAGCAUAUCAAUAAGCGGAGGA